rnacentral:rRNA from 1 species
UAGGGAAUCUUCGGCAAUGGGGGGAACCCUGACCGAGCAACGCCGCGUGAGUGAAGAAGGUUUUCGGAUCGUAAAGCUCUGUUGUUAAGGAAGAACGAGUGUGAGAAUGGAAAGUUCAUACUGUGACGGUACUUAACCAGAAAGGGACGGCUAACUACGUGCCAGCAGCCGCGGUAAUACGUAGGUCCCGAGCGUUGUCCGGAUUUAUUGGGCGUAAAGCGAGCGCAGGCGGUUAGAAAAGUCUGAAGUGAAAGGCAGUGGCUCAACCAUUGUAGGCUUUGGAAACUGUUUAACUUGAGUGCAGAAGGGGAGAGUGGAAUUCCAUGUGUAGCGGUGAAAUGCGUAGAUAUAUGGAAGAACACCAGUGGCGAAGGCGGCUGUCUGGUCUGCAACUGACGCUGAGGCUCGAAAGCAUGGGUAGCGAACAGGAUUAGAUACCCUGGUAGUCCAUGCCGUAAACGAUGAGUGCUAGGUGUUGGAGGGUUUCCGCCCUUCAGUGCCGGAGCUAACGCAUUAAGCACUCCGCCUGGGGAGUACGACCGCAAGGUUG